AUUAAAUUAAAUGCUCUGCCAGUCUCAUGACACAUCUUUCUUUGCACACCAUAUUUUUCAUUUCCUGUUGCUUUCCUUUUCUCUUUCUUUUGCUUUCCCAUUCUUUCCCCGAAUUUUCUUCUCUUCACCUUUCGCAGGGGUUUUCUCUAUUGUCCUCAGUACUUGACUGUUCACAUGGCCGGAAUCAAGUUGCCGUCGGAGGAUGUAGAAACCAAACCGCCUUCUCUAGAGUUCUUUCCCUAUCGAUAAUCUCACACCCACUAAAUGGGUUUUGUAUAGCUGAUGGUCUGUGAUUUCAGCAUCGUUUCUCCUUAACCUUUCACAUAAGCUCUACGAAAGCGCAAAACUGCUGCUCUCGAGGUAGAAGGGAUACUGAAUCAAUUGCCGCAACUGGAGAUCAUGAUAUAAUUAUUGCAGGGAUGUAGCAAUUUGUUUGAUUUAGUGUAAUUUUUAUGUUACAAAGCCAGUGUUGGAAGCUAGGGGCAAAAGUAGAGUUUGAAUGAUGAGAAAAACAAAAUUAUAUUGGCUUGAAAUUUUUUUAUGUGUACUUAAGAUUUUGAAUGGUGAAUAGUUGAUUAUAUAUUAUUGUUGUAAAUAAAUAUUAAUUGUUGAAUUCGGAUUAUUGAUCAAGAUUUUGUCUUUCACUGCUUGGUUUUAAUUUAUAUAAAUGCAUUUAAAGAACUUAAAUUUUUCAAAAUUGUUUCUUUAUUAUAUUGAGCAUAAUCUGGAAAUGAUAGUGAAAAUGAUUAUAGAUCAUUUGAACUUCUAUCUUCAAAUUAAGCAUCACUUUGUAGUUAUUCUUAAGGUAGAAUCAUAUUCUGCUUGACACUAACGUGUAACUAAUUUCUAGAAUAUAUUGAACUAAGCGUAGACAUUCAUUUCAUUGUGUUGGCCAAGUAUGUCUUAGAACACAAAUUUACCUACUUAGCCCAUGUUUGACCCCCAUUACCUAAAAAUGAAAAUGGGGGAAAUAGUAUUUUUUUUUAAAAAAAAUGAGUGAUUGAAAAAGAAGGAAAAGUUUUCGAUUUACGUGUAAUAUUAUUUUAUGGAAGAUUGUGUGGUUGAAAGUAGAAGAGAGAAAAAAUAGAAUGUAAUGUAAUUGAAUUUAAUGGGGAUCAAAUAGGGGUUUAAUCUUGUAGUCGAGUUUGUUUUAUUGUUUACUAGGGUUGAAGGAUUUUUCGAAGGGUGUUUGAUUCUUCCUCAUUCAUGAUGACAAAGACGAGAUCAAAAUUCGAGGAAUUGGAAUACUUGGGUAAAUUAUUAGUCUUCAUAUCUUUGGUUUUAGAAAUAGUGCCCUACAUUGUCAAUCUUUUCCUUCUAAUGUUUGUGAAUAUAUCUUGCUCUCUAUGUAUUGAUGCGGUGAGAUAUUUAGGGUUUUGAGAUUCAAGAUUGGUGACUGAUGGAAUCAGGGAUGGAUCAGUACGAGAUCAUGGAGAAAAUUGGUCAAGAAGCUUUUGGGGCAGCCAUUUUUUUCAAUCACAAGCUGGAAAGAAAAAAAGUAUAUCAUAUGAAAUUAUAUUAGUUCCAUUCAUUUUCGUAUGAUUUUGCAAAAACUGUUUUGAAAAGUUCGCAAAAAUGUAACAGUUUUUUCCCCUUAUUCUUGAAAUGAAAAAUAGGUACAUGCUUAAGAAGAUUUGGUUGGCUCGACGAAUAGAAUGUUAUAGAAGAUAUGCUCAUCUAGAGUUAUAGUGAUGUAAUUUUACCUUUUAUAAUUUAUUUAUUUUUUUGUUGUAUUAUUUAAGUUUCAUGACUAAGAAUUUGUUUUGUGUACUAA